rnacentral:tRNA from 1 species
GCCUGGGUGGCUCAGUCAGUUGAGCGUCCAACUUUGGCUCAGGUCAUGAUCUCAUAAUCGUGGGUUCAAGCCCCACAUCGGGCU